AAGUUUUAAUAGGUAAGUAUAUUUUUAAUUUACAAAAUUAAUGUUUUUUUUAAACUAUAAAACU
rnacentral:tRNA from 1 species